rnacentral:ncRNA from 1 species
UCAAUCCUCGAGCCUGUUGUCCUACGGGACCGCCUAUGGAAAGCAGGCCGGAUGGCUUACCGCUGUCCAAAGGGUGUUCCGGGAAACCGGGGCGCCUUCCGCUUUGAAAAGGGGAGCG